CCAAUCAGACCGGAGCGCGGGCGGGAAAAGGUGCCUCAACAUCCUCAACAUCUGGAGCUGUGGAGGCGGCAGCUGCGGGAGGGGGAGCGCCACUUAAGGGGACCAGGACGUAGAUCUUCACAAAGGCGCAGCAGUCCCGGUGGAGCAGCGGAGUCUUCGCUACUGGAGGAUCCUCAGAAAGCAUCUCCCCUUCCUGCAAGUACUGGAUUACAUGCAUAUCAUUAGGCUUCAAUUCACACCAAGGCAAAGUAUUUCUGCUGGAUUUAAAGAGUGUCUGUUCCCCUUUGGCUCUCCGACCAGCAGAGAAAGGAAGUCCAUGAGAAAGUCCCAGAAAAUCUCACAUCUGCAGCAGGGAUGGAGCAGAGUACACACAGCCUCCCGGCCUAAAAAAGGCCGAACUGAAGGGAGUUGAUUCCCCUUUGAUCCUGACGCUUGUUGUAAGAGAGAACGGCUUGAAGAGAGCGUUUGGCUACAAUUGACUGCUACAAUUAAGGCAUGAUCAGAGGCCCAGAGGGCUGCACUUAACCGCCACAUCUACAUGUCAGCUUGGUGAAUUAAAAAAAAAAAAAAAGCAAAAGAAAAAAGAGGCAAAAAAUAUGCAGCGCUGGAUUUUUUUCUCUCUUUAUUUCCUGUGUGGCUGGUAAACUGUAAUUUGUGGGGAGUUAAGAAAGCACAUGGAGAGGAGCAGAGAUGCACAUUACCAUGUGAAAGGAAGCAAUCAGGGGACCACUGCUGAGUCUAUUGUCCAGAGAGACUGCUGAUCCUCAGAGAGAGAGAGAGAGGGAGGGGGAGAAGGCAGGGAGAGAGAGAGUUUUCAGGCCAUGAUAGUUCUCAUAGAGACGAUGGGUGUGAACAAGGUGGAGCAAGAGUGUGUGAAGAGUAUGUUUGUGCAUUUGUAAGAUUUAACUGAUCUGUAGAGCGUACAGUACUCUCUCUUUGCCGACAUAAACGUGUAAAAGCUUCAGCGUCCAGUCACCAGCAAGUGUAAAAAAAGGAAAAAAAGGCUUCAAUCUCCAGGUGACCGCCUUGGCCAGACAGACUGGACAGAACGUUCGGAGGCGGGGGCAGAGGGCCGUUUCAGAUGAAAGUCUGUCAUUUGCCUUAGCAAAUCAGAGAACAGCACUAGCAUGAGCCAAAACUGAUGGACAUUUCAAGUGUCUACACAGAACAUAACAGUGAAUCAGAGACAGCAUUAGGUGUUAGCAGGGGUUUGCAAUUAACUGAUGACCUGCAUGCAUCAUAUAAAGGGCAUAUUAAGACUAAUUUUAGAGAGUAAGUAUAUUAUGUUGUACAUAUAGCGCAGUAUAAACUACAUAGUAAGACGUUGCUGAUUGGAUGUCGGCCCAUUAUGACAUCAUUUUACUUUAUUGAUUUAUGUUAAUCAUUUCGUUUCUUUUUGUGAAUGUUUCACUAUAAAGGUGCUGCUCAAUGUUGUAUACUUCAUAUUUCGUGAAACAAACUAUCAUGACGUUAUAGUUUUACCAUGUCACCCACGCUUAUUGCACUGUAUAUAUUGUUUUUACACACUGUUUGUCACUGACUUACUCUUGUAGCCUUUUGCUAUGAAAGGCGUUUGAUUCCUUUAUAGAAGUCAGAUUUUUCUGAGAUGGCAUUUUAUUGUGUGUACCAUGCAGUGAAAACAGUGAGAAGGAUUUUUGUUAUGCUGAGCUGAUAUAAUGACAAUAAAGUUGAACUGAAUGAGAGAAAAAAAUGUGUGAGCCAUAAAAGGCCAUUCAGCAAAAUUGUUUUAUAGAAGUCGGACAUGUUUGAAAAGCCUGCUGGACCGACGCGCUGUGAGUGUGUUUACAGUCCAGUGGAGUUAAACUAUUGUGCUCACUCAACCUCAGACCACUCUUCCCCUCCCUCUGUGCAGCCCCCCCAACCCACGCUGCCCUCUACAACACCCCCCAACCAACUCAACCUCCAAAACUUUAUUUAGCUGCUCCAAAGAGCUGUUUGUGUCCCAAAGCGGUGUCCUACCACUUUUCAGUUUGAUGCCCAUUAACAUCUGAAAUACUUAUUGCUGUGGAUGUGAACCUGUUGUUGUUGUAGGUUCCAGAUACAAACAAACUUGGAAUUUAUUUAAACGCAGUGUGGAUGUGAUAUUUUCAAAUUAUGGGAAUUUAAACUUUGAGUCCAUAUAGGGGUCCAAUUCCUCAAAAAAAUAAAAACAAAGUUAUUUGAAUUAUGUCACUUUUCUGUACAAUCAA
ensembl:lncRNA